GGCUGAAUAAGCUAAGCGAAGCUAUUGGGUUCAUACCCCAAAGAUGAGUUAACUACUCUUCAUCCA
rnacentral:tRNA from 1 species